UCGCGGCGGUGAGCGCARAANGGUCUGGGCUCGAGCCUGCCUGGAGCCGCCGCCGGUGCAGAUCUUGGUGGUAGUAGCAAAUACUCCAGCGAGGCCCUGGAGGACUGACGUGGAGAAGGGUUUCGUGUGAACAGCCGUUGCACACGAGUCAGUCGACCCUAAGCCCUAGGAGAAAUCCGAUGUAAACGGCGUUGGGAAAAAUUGUGUCAUGUUGAAAGACAAAAGCCCACUGAUCGGGCGAAAGGGAAUCCGGUUCCUAUUCCGGAACCCGGCAGCGGAACCGUUGUUUGUCGGGCCCUCACAAGGGGUUCGUCAGGGCAACCUAAAAGGGCCCGGAGACGCCGUCGGGAGCCCCGGAAAGAGUUUUCUUUUCUGCAUGAGCGUUCGAGUUCCCUGGAAUCCUCUCGCAGGGAGAUAGGGUUUGGAACGCGAAGAGCACCGCAGUUGCGGCGGUGCCCGGGUAUCCCCGACGGACCUUGAAAAUCCGGGAGAGGGCCACGUGGAGGUGUCGCGCCGGCUCGUACCCAUAUCCGCAGCAGGUCUCCAAGGUGAAGAGCCUCUAGUC
rnacentral:rRNA from 1 species